AUAUUUUCUUGGAAAACAUUUUCUUCAAUUUUUUUUUUCCAUUUGGAACUCUUAGGAUAAUUGGUCAAUGUUUUUCAAGGAAAAUGAAAUAUUUUUUAAAAAGAAAAACAUAUUUACAAAAUUUGAUAAACUCAUUAAAAAGGAAGCCAUGGGCACACCAUGUGAACACAUACCUGUUAGUUUAUUGAGUAUUAGCAGCUGACACUUCUUCCUGGCAAGAAUGGCAUUUUUUUUAAUUCUCUCAUAGUCAACAAUAAAUAGAAGAAUAUGAAAUUCUUAUAGGUCUAAACUUUUAAAUAGUCCUAUAUCUUGAAAACAAAAAAUAUUUUCUGUGUAUUCCAAAUGCUAGAGAAUAAUUUCCAAUUAAUUGUGAGAAUUAUUACUAAACAAUGAAAAAUAAGUUAUUUUUUUAGAUUAUGUUUUCCUCUGAAAAUAUUUUCUGCAGACAGAGGUGUAAAGGCACUUUAUUGCAAAUUUUCUGUUUAGACACACUAUUGGACAAAAAGAAAAAAGGUCUCCAAACAUGCAAAUGUAUAUUGAGUUCUAUGAUGCAA
rnacentral:misc_RNA from 1 species